CCUACGGGAGGCAGCAGUGAGGAAUAUUGGUCAAUGGGCGCGAGCCUAAACCAGCCAAGUAGCGUGAAGGAUGACUGCCCUACGGGUUGUAAACUUCUUUUAUAAAGGAAUAAAGUGAGGCCCGUGUGCCUUUUUGUAUGUACUUUAUGAAUAACGAUCGGCUAACUCCGUGCCAGCAGCCGCGGUAAUACGGAGGAUCCGGGCGUUAUCCGGAUUUAUUGGGGUUAAAGGGGGCGUAGAUGGGUUGUUAAGUCAGUUGUGAAUGUUUGCGGCUCAAACGUAAAAUUGCAAUUGAUACUGGCAGCCUUGAGUACAGUUGAGGUAGGCGGAAUGCGUGGUGUAGCGGUGAAAUGCUUAGAUAUCACGAAGAACUCCGAUUGCGAAGGCAGCCUACUAAACUGCCACUGACAUUGAUGCUCGAAAGUGUGGGUAUCAAACAGGAUUAGAUACCCGAGUAGUC
rnacentral:rRNA from 1 species